rnacentral:lncRNA from 1 species
GAUUUCUAUAUCCAUAUCCUCUCUUUUCAAUUUCUUCCUUUCAUUUUCCCUCUCACGUGGGCUUUAUCUGAAGAAAUUUGCAGAUCAAUAGUACGGAGACACGCAUGAAUCGAUUAUUCGAUUUUUCACUGAGAAAUUCACACAAUAGAGAGAAAAGAGAGAGAAGAGAAAGAAGCUAAGGACUUUGCGUGGGUUUUGCUAACUUGUUUAAGAUUUUUGUGUUUAUUUAUUAAAAGCACAACCCGUGACGUGGAGAGGGAGAUGGCUGCUGGAAGGCUGGAGGGGUAAUUUUGGAAAUGAAAUUAUAAAACAGUGGAUAGUGCAUGAAAGGGAUAUUUUUUUGGGCAACAGUGGACAUAUUUUGGGUUAUGAAAACUUGGGUUAUGAAAAAGCUAUU